GACAGAGGAUGCAAGCGUUAUCCGGAAUGAUUGGGCGUAAAGCGUCUGUAGGUGGCUUUUAAGUCCGCCGUCAAAUCCCAGGGCUCAACCCUGGACAGGCGGUGGAAACUACCAAGCUGGAGUACGGUAGGGCAGAGGGAAUUCCGGUGGAGCGGUGAAAUGCGUAGAGAUCGGAAAGAACACCAACGGCGAAAGCACUCUGCUGGCCGACACUGACACUGAGAGACGAAAGCUAGGGAGCGAAUGG
rnacentral:rRNA from 1 species